GAAGACAUUAGUCAAAUUAUAUUGAAGGCAUAACACACUCGGGACAUCUAUGUAGGGAGAAGUGAUUAAGCACAGGCAUUCUUGUAAGAGGUCAGCCCCCACCUCCCCUCAAAGAGUGUCACUUUCCAACUUAACUCUUUUAGCCAGAUCCCGAGAGAAGAGCCUGCCCUCAUCCCUGUACCGGAGGGAGGAGAUUUUUAGGUCACAGGCUCAGCUGAAGAUUCGGCUGCAGUAUGCCCUCCCUUUUGUGCCUUCUCCUGGCCACCCUCUUAGAGGAUGGUGUUGGAGCUCAGAAAAUCUACCAAUGGCCGGCCACCAAGCUACAGGUUGAAGGGAGCCCGCUUUCCCUGGAGUGUUCCACGGAAGGGACAUCAGAUCCCAAUCUCUACUGGUAUCACCAGCCCCUAGGUGGGGUUUUACAGCUGCUGUCCUACUCUAUAACAGUAAACCAGGUGGAGGAUACAAUGCCCCAACAUUUCUCAGGUUCUAGAUCUCAACCGAGCCAUUUCCAGCUCAGCUCCCAGAAGAUCCUUGUCACUGACUCAGGUUUCUAUUUCUGUGCCUGGAGCCUCACACUGAACUGAACGAGGCAGGUAGCUGUGCAAAAACCCUUCCUUUCCUCCAGAUGCUGACAACACUUCCAGAGCUGCUACAAGAACCCUCCCGGACCACAUAGUGAUAGUGAUUUCUUCUUCCCAUGACAACGGGUACUGGGCCUGAUUAAAAAAUAAGACAUACUUUUCUCUGUUCCUCCCACUUCUAAUUCCAGCUCAUCUCUCCAGGGAACUGAGAGUCAAGAUAAUAAACUCAGUACUAAUGUUUGCAGAUAGGCAGGGUUGGCAUGGAGAAAUCCAGGAAGAAAGACAGAGGAAGAAAGCAGGAAAAAAGAAAAGGUAGAGGGAAUGGGCCAGUGAGCAUAUAGAUAGGAAUGUUGUCUUAACCAUGUUGAACCUGAAUUACCAUCAAGAUUGUUAGCUCAUGCCAUCACCCUUGUCAUGAACCUGAGAAGACCCUAACCCACCAACAAACAUGGCCCCACACACUCCUUUUCUAUCAGAUUUUCCUCCAGUUUGCAGAUAAUCUUUUCUUAUAUAAUCAUUACAUAUAUGCAUCCAUCUUCCUUUCUUUCCUUGUUCUUUUUGCUCGAGAUAGUAUCUGGUCAGAUGUAGUUCCAUGACAGAGGAUAAGGCAGAAUUCUUACCAAAAACAGGGUUUGUAGUUAAAUUGUAACCAGUGCCUUAAUCCUCAGGUUUAAGCUUAUGCUCACCUAAUUCUAACUGAGAUAACUUCUAAGGGCAUAGGAGGACUGAAUUGGUGGGAAGAGGUAGGGAUAAUACCCUUAUACAGGGGGUCAGUGAAAAUCAAGCAGGAACCUGGGACAAAGAUCAAGUUCUCCCUCUAAAUGUUAAAAAAAAAAUAAAAGAUGGGAAAUGGGAAGAGGGAUUAAGAAAAAAAGGAACUAGAGAAGCAGGGAGAUGGCAUAGGAUAAGGAUAGAAAAUAAGCUUCAGUCUGUGAAGGAAGGUCUUCAUGGAGAAAUUCUUUAAAUUAUUUAAGGAAAGAAAGGAAAUGGAAUAGAUUCUUCUGCAAGAAGAAGGGCAUAUGUAGCCAUGAGCAAUGAAUAUGUAUUUCUGGCUAACUUUUGCAACUGAACAUUCUGCUAUCAUCCAAGCCCUUUGGCUCUUGAUCUCUCUUGUUAUUAAAAAGUUGACUCUUACACUAUGCCUUUCCUCUCCAAGAGAGGGCAUGAGAAUGCUUAAAAUACGUUCUGUUUUUAAGUUAUGUCAUUGACCCAACGUACAAUUUUAUACUAAAUAAUCUUUUCUUCCCCAUAACUUAAGAUGUUCAGAAAAAGCACUAACAGAUAAGGAGGAAAA